rnacentral:tRNA from 1 species
UCCCUGGUGGUUCAGAAGGUAAAGAAUCUGCUUGCAGUGCAGAAGGUCCAGGUUCGAUCCUGGGUUGGGAA